CCUACGGGAGGCAGCAGUGAGGAAUAUUGGUCAAUGGCCGUAAGGCUGAACCAGCCAAGUAGCGUGAGGGAAGACUGCCCUAUGGGUUGUAAACCUCUUUUAUGCGGGGAUAAAGGUGUCCACGUGUGGAUGUUUGCAGGUACCGCAUGAAUAAGGACCGGCUAAUUCCGUGCCAGCAGCCGCGGUAAUACGGAAGGUCAGGGCGUUAUCCGGAUUUAUUGGGGUUAAAGGGAUCGUAGGCCGGUCUUUAAGCGUGCCGGGAAAUUUUGUGGCUCAACCAUGAGAGUGCGGGGCGAACUGGAGACCUUGAGUGCGCGGAAGGCAGGCGGAAUUCGUGGUGUAGCGGUGAAAUGCUUAGAUAUCACGAAGAACCCCGAUUGCGAAGGCAGCCUGCCGCAGCGUUACUGACGCUGAAGCUCGAAAGCGCGGGUAUCGAACAGGAUUAGAUACCCUUGUAGUC
rnacentral:rRNA from 1 species